rnacentral:lncRNA from 1 species
UGAGUAUCCCUUUGCACCAAUCUUGCUUUGAAUCUAACUCCACCUUAUUCUGAAGGUACCUCCUUCUCAGUGAACACCCACUUUAAGCCAAUGUGUCGAGCACAUCUUGGAAGAUCCACCAACUGCCAUGUCUGAUUUUUCUUCAAUGAUUCCAUCUCCUCCAUCAUGGCCUACAUCCAUGACUCCUGAUCGUCACUUUCCAUGGCC